UGACAUGUGGGGCAAGCGUUGUUCGGAAAGUUACUGGGCAUAAAGGGUGCGUAGGCGGUUUGUUAGGUCACUGGUAGAAAGUUUUCGGCCCAACCGGAAAAGUUAGCCUGUGAUACUGGCGGUGGCUUUGAGGUGCGUGAGGGGGUGGGGGGGAAACUGAGCAGUGUAGCGGAUGAAAUGCGUAGAUAUUGCUCGGAAGGCCGGAGCCGAAGGGGCCCCACUGGUACGCAACUGACGCUGAGGCACGGAAAGCGUGGGGAGCAAACACGG
rnacentral:rRNA from 1 species